rnacentral:rRNA from 1 species
CACUUGUGGCACGGGACCCUCGGGAACUGAGGCUAAUCCCAGAUACUGCUUUCAUGUUGGAACACGGAAAGCCGGAAACGGUCCGCCGCCGGAGGACGUGACUGCGGCCGAUUAGGUAGACGGUGGGGUAACGGCCCACCGUGCCGAUAAUCGGUACGGGUUGUGAGAGCAAGAACCCGGAGACGGACUCUGAGACAAGAGUCCGGGCCCUACGGGGCGCAGCAGACGCGAAACCUUUACACUGCACGACAGUGCGAUAAGGGGAUCCCGAGUGCGAGGGCAUACAGUCCUCGCUUUUCGUGACCGUAAGGUGGUCUC